rnacentral:rRNA from 1 species
UAACGGUACAAUGGGUAGCAAACAGGAUUUGAUUACCCUGGUAGUUCACGCCGUAAACGAUGUCUAAAAAGUAGUUGGGGUAUCCUUGAGGACUUAGUGAGAGCAAGCUAACGCAAAAAGUAGACCUCCUGGGGAGUACGGCCGCAAGGUUAAAACUCAAACGAAUAUGACGGGGGCCCGCACAAGCGGUGGAGCAUGUGGUUUAAUUCGAUGCAACGCGAAGAACCUUACCUGGUCUUGACAUACACAGAAUCUUGUAGAGAUACGAGAGUGCCUUCGGGAAUUGUGAUACAGGUGCUGCAUGGCUGUCGUCAGCUCGUGUCGUGAGAUGUUGGGUUAAGUCCCGCAACGAGCGCAACCCUUGUCCUUAGUUACCAGCGGGUUAAGCCGGGAACUCUAAGGAUACUGCCAGUGACAAACUGGAGGAAGGCGGGGACGACGUCAAGUCAUCAUGGCCCUUACGACCAGGGCUACACACGUGCUACAAUGGUAGGUACAGAGGGCAGCUACACAGCGAUGUGAUGCGAAUCUCAAAAAGCCUAUCGUAGUCCAGAUUGGAGUCUGCAACUCGACUCCAUGAAGUAGGAAUCGCUAGUAAUCGCGGAUCAGAAUGCCGCGGUGAAUACGUUCCCGGGCCUUGUACACACCGCCCGUCACACCAUGGGAGUUGAUUGCACCAGAAGUGGUUAGCC